CAGGUCCAGUGUGCGCGGGAGUGGUUGGUCUAAAGAUGCCCCGGUACUGUCUGUUCGGUGAUACUGUCAAUACAGCCAGUCGUUUUGAAUCAACGGGAGCUCCACUAAAAAUCCACUGCAGCGCGGCGUGCAAGGCGCUGCUGGACAAACUUGGCGGCUACAUACUGGAGGAGCGCGGCAUCGUCUCCAUGAAAGGAAAGCGGGAUCAGGUGACGUACUGGUUGCGCGGAGAGGAAGCGGUCG